rnacentral:rRNA from 1 species
UGGGGAAUAUUGGACAAUGGGCGAAAGCCUGAUCCAGCCAUGCCGCGUGUGUGAAGAAGGUCUUCGGAUUGUAAAGCACUUUAAGUUGGGAGGAAGGGCAGUAAGUUAAUACCUUGCUGUUUUGACGUUACCGACAGAAUAAGCACCGGCUAACUCUGUGCCAGCAGCCGCGGUAAUACAGAGGGUGCAAGUGUUAAUCGGAAUUACUGGGCGUAAAGCGCGCGUAGGUGGUUUGUUAAGUUGGAUGUGAAAGCCCCGGGCUCAACCUGGGAACUGCAUCCAAAACUGGCAAGCUAGAGUACGGUAGAGGGUGGUGGAAUUUCCUGUGUAGCGGUGAAAUGCGUAGAUAUAGGAAGGAACACCAGUGGCGAAGGCGACCACCUGGACUGAUACUGACACUGAGGUGCGAAAGCGUGGGGAGCAAACA